rnacentral:rRNA from 1 species
AUGCAUAAAGGGAGAUUUGAGAUGCUUCAGUCUAAUAUGAGGAAGAUGUUGGUGGAUUGGAGUGAACAAUAUAUGUCUUCUGGUAAUAAGGAGAUUUUGAUUACGUCAGUGGCGCAAGCUAUACCCUGUUAUGUCAUGAGUGUUUUUCGAUUACCAGCGUCAGCAUGUGAUGAGCUAACCCGACUGAUGCGUCAAUAUUAG